GACAGAGGGGGCAAGCGUUGUCCGGACUGACUGGGCGUAAAGCGCGCGCAGGCGGUCAGAGGCGUCGGUGCUCAAAGUCCACCGCUUAACGGUGGGAGGCGUGCCGAUACGCUCUGACUGGAGGGCGGGCGAGGGUGGUGGAAUUGCCGGUGUAGUGGUGAAAUGCGUAGAGAUCGGCAGGAACACCCAGGGGGAAACCAGCCGACUGGGCAAGUGCUGACGCUGAGGUGCGAGAGCGUGGGGAGCGAACCGG
rnacentral:rRNA from 1 species